GAUGAGGUAAGAGAGCUUUCUUCAGUCCACUCAUAGGUGGUACCUGUACGGUUCAAUUAGCUGCCGACUCAUUCAUCCAAAUGCUGAGUGAAGAUAGAUACUUAGUAAAUGAGUGAAUGAUGCGGGAGACAAAUUGAAUCUUAAGCUUCCUGUACUUGGACUGAAGGGAGCUCCCUUUUUCUUCUUU
rfam:Cajanus cajan Scaffold133269_4, whole genome shotgun sequence.